ACGGGUGAGUAAUACAUCGGAACGUGCCCGAUCGUGGGGGAUAACUACUCGAAAGAGUGGCUAAUACCGCAUACGAUCUACGGAUGAAAGCGGGGGAUCGCAAGACCUCGCGCGGACGGAGCGGCCGAUGGCAGAUUAGGUAGUUGGUGGGAUAAAAGCUUACCAAGCCGACGAUCUGUAGCUGGUCUGAGAGGACGACCAGCCACACUGGGACUGAGACACGGCCCAGACUCCUACGGGAGGCAGCAGUGGGGAAUUUUGGACAAUGGGGGAAACCCUGAUCCAGCCAUGCCGCGUGCAGGAUGAAGGCCUUCGGGUUGUAAACUGCUUUUGUACGGAACGAAAAGACUCUUUCUAAUACAGAGGGUCCAUGACGGUACCGUAAGAAUAAGCACCGGCUAACUACGUGCC
rnacentral:rRNA from 1 species